UUAAGGUAAAGCUAACAAGGACAGUUCCCCCCAGAAGAAGAUGGCAUCCUUAAUGUGAACAGCUUUUCCCAAGAUCACAGAUCAAGACUUCUCUACUAUCAUGAGACACUUAUCUUAAGUAUCUGUGCAGCUGCUAACACUUACAGCAUGUGGAGAAAACAUGGUGUAUUAUAAAGAUUUGGUUGUAGGGAAUUAACAAAAAAACCCACUUAGUUAAGCAAGUAAACUCUUUAUCUAAUUCAUUCUUUAAUCUAUUUGAUUUUAGGUGGUUUGAUUUAUGGGGACCCUGAGUUAGGAGCAUAUACCAAAUUCUUGGUGUUAUCCCAAGAGUCAUAAGAGUCUCCCUGGUGCACUGUACUUACUCAAAUGUUUUAAGAGUUUGCAUGCAGGCAUCUCUAAAAUAUCAAAUGGUAUCUCUUCAACUGGAAUGACAAGAGAUUAAAAAAAAGUGCAACCAUAAGGACACCGUAACCUAUGAGUGACAUGCUAAACCGGAAACCCAAAACAAUGGGGGUGACAUGCUAAACCAGAAACCCAAAACAAUGGGAGCGUCCUGCUAAACCAGAAACCGAAAACAAUUGGAGUGAUCUGCUAAACCAGAAACCCAAAACAAUGGGAGUGACGUGCUAAAACUGGAACCCAAAACAAUGGGAGUGACGUGCUAAAACCGGAACCCAAAACAGUGGGAGUGACCUGCUAAACCAGAAACCCAAAACAAUGGGAGUGACGUGCUAAAACCAGAAACCCAAAACAAUGGGAUCAUCCUGCUAAACCAGAAACCCAAAACAAUGGGAGUGACGUGCUAAAACCAGAACCCAAAACAAU
rnacentral:lncRNA from 1 species